rnacentral:lncRNA from 1 species
ACAAGCCUUCAUUAAUAGAUAUAUAGAAGGAUUUAUUUCAUAAGAUGCUUUCGGAGCCCAGAGAUUACCAAUGGCUUCAACAAUUGCAACUUUCAAAUCUCCGUUCUUUAUGAAAAUCAUAAGGCUUCACACUUCGAUAUUGUGAUAUCCAACUAGACAAACAAUGUUUAAGAGACAAAUUAGCAUAUUAAUGGUAACAAAUGGCCUCAGAGGUAGUGACAAUUAGCAUUUAUCAAUCACACAGCAGAUCUGGUAAUACGUGCAAGUAAUACAUCAUUGGCCAUCCGUACUAUUUAUCUUAAAAAUGAAU